rnacentral:rRNA from 1 species
UACGUAGGGUGCGAGCGUUGUCCGGAAUUACUGGGCGUAAAGAGCUCGUAGGUGGUUUGUCGCGUUGUUCGUGAAAACUCACAACUCAAUUGUGGGCGUGCGGGCGAUACGGGCAGACUGGAGUACUGCAGGGGAGACUGGAAUUCCUGGUGUGGCGGUGGAAUGCGCAGAUAUCAGGAGGAACACCGGUGGCGAAGGCGGGUCUCUGGGCAGUAACUGACGCUGAGGCACGAAAGCGUGGGGAGCAAACAGG